CUUCCGUCAUGAAUGGAGUGGGCCCUUCUUGUUCAUGGAAGAAACAGAAUGAAUGGGGUAGGCGGGAGCCUCCCUUCACCUCAAUGUGCAGCCUCUGGAUAUACUUGCUCAUGACCAGGGGGUCAAUGGGCUCCUGAGAAGACGUUCCUGCCAGAGGAGGUGGAGACCCACAGCCUUCAGUACCUCCAGGGUUGCUUCUUUUCCUGAGCUGCCGCUUUCCGCUCCUCCUUCCCAACUCUCCCAGCAGGCCCCUUCACUUCUGCCAUGGGAGAAGAUUUUUGAUCUAAGGGAGGUGAGUGGAGGACAACAUGUCAGGUACCUGUGGC